UAGCUCAGUUGGUAGAGCAUGGUGUUUGCAACGCCAGGGUUGUGGGUUUGUUUCCCAC
rfam:Salmo salar isolate Sally breed double haploid chromosome ssa13, whole genome shotgun sequence.